rnacentral:rRNA from 1 species
UACGAAGGGGGCUAGCGUUGCUCGGAAUUACUGGGCGUAAAGCGCACGUAGGCGGCUUUCUAAGUCGGAGGUGAAAUCCUGGAGCUCAACUCCAGAACUGCCUUCGAUACUGGAGAGCUUGAGUCCGGGAGAGGUGAGUGGAAUUCCCAGUGUAGCGGUGAAAUGCGUAGAUAUUGGGAGGAACACCAGUGGCGAAGGCGGCUCACUGGACCGGUACUGACGCUGAGGCGCGAAAGCGUGGGGAGCAAACGGGG